AUUGAACGCUGGCGGCAUGCCUUACACAUGCAAGCCGAACGGUAACAGGUCUUCGGAUGCUGACGAGUGGCGAACGGGUGAGUAAUACAUCGGAACGUGCCUAGUAGUGGGGGAUAACUACUCGAAAGAGUGGCUAAUACCGCAUGAGAUCUACGGAUGAAAGCAGGGGAUCGCAAGACCUUGUGCUACUAGAGCGGCCGAUGGCAGAUUAGGUAGUUGGUGGGAUAAAAGCUUACCAAGCCGACGAUCUGUAGCUGGUCUGAGAGGACGAUCAGCCACACUGGGACUGAGACACGGCCCAGACUCCUACGGGAGGCAGCAGUGGGGAAUUUUGGACAAUGGGCGCAAGCCUGAUCCAGCAAUGCCGCGUGCAGGAUGAAGGCCUUCGGGUUGUAAACUGCUUUUGUACGGAACGAAAAGGCCUGGGUUAAUACCCUGGGGUCAUGACGGUACCGUAAGAAUAAGCACCGGCUAACUACGUGCCAGCCGCCGCGGUAACAC
rnacentral:rRNA from 1 species